rnacentral:rRNA from 1 species
UACGAAGGGGGCUAGCGUUGCUCGGAAUCACUGGGCGUAAAGCGCACGUAGGCGGCUUCUUAAGUCAGGGGUGAAAUCCUGGAGCUCAACUCCAGAACUGCCUUUGAUACUGGGGAGCUCGAGUCCGGAAGAGGUGAGUGGAACUGCGAGUGUAGAGGUGAAAUUCGUAGAUAUUCGCAAGAACACCAGUGGCGAAGGCGGCUCACUGGUCCGGUACUGACGCUGAGGUGCGAAAGCGUGGGAGC